GGAGAGGUGGCUGAGUGGCCGAAAGCAGCCGCCUGCUAAGCGGUUGGCCUUCUAAAAGGGGGCCCCCGGGUUCAAAUCCCGGCCUCUCCG
rnacentral:tRNA from 1 species